rnacentral:lncRNA from 1 species
GGUGACACACUUUUGCAGUUGGCGUAAACAUCUAUUGAAAUUCAAUGGACCGUGAUGAAUUGCUUUUGUUAGUUGGGGCAGCCAGGAUAUGACUCAUCGCAACGUCAGAAGCAAACAAUGGUUGCUAUUUUUAGUUCCUAUAUAAGCCAGAUACCCUCACAGCGGAUGGCCAGUCGGAUUUAUAAGGCGGAGUUCAGUGGUAUCUAAUCAUAUCCAGACUCGACAGCACUGUACAACUGUAUAGCUUCAUUUCCGAAUAUGAGCAGCUAAACUACCAACAGACCAACUUUCAAAGAUGAACUGUCCAUCUAGUGUUGUAGAUGUUACAUACGGGCAAGAUUUCGUCACAUUGGCAAACAGCAUGGUCAACACGGUGGGUGAAUGGAUCGUGGUCAAAAUAGGAGAUUUGACUCAGCAGUUAAAGAAUGCAAAAACCUUUUGAUAUAUGACAAACCAAAAAGCUAUUUAAAUGAGCUAAUUUGAAU